rnacentral:lncRNA from 1 species
CACCACAACAGCCCACACAACCACAAACACCACAACAGCCCACACAACCACAAACACCACAACAGCCUCACACGGCCACAAACACCACCAACAACCCACACGGCCACAAACACCACAACAGCCCACACGGCCACAAACACCACAACAGCCCACACGGCCACUAACACCACAACAACCCACACGGCCACAAACACCAAUAACAGCCCCACACGGCUACUAACACCACAACAACCCGCCGUGCCACAACCCCCGUCCCCCUGGCGUCACGCCAUCCCCUCGGGGUGGGCCGCGGCCUCUCCCGGUGACCGAUGCUCGCUCCGCCCCGCGCCGUCCUCCCUCCUGCAUCCAAUAGGACACGAGUCAUUCCGCGUCCCGGACCCUGGGCGCGGGGCUCGUUCCGUAUCCUCGCUCCUUCACAGCCGCGCUUGGGCUCCGCGCGCUCCCGCCGAGCUCCUCCCCUCGGGGCGGGGCGCAGCGUGGCCCGUCCCGGCCCAGCGGCGGCGGCGGCGAUGUGGAGUCGGGGCGCGCGGCUUCGCUGCUAGAGGGAGGUUGGGGGGCGCCCGCCGGCACCCGGGAGACCCGGCCGGAGGUUCCGUACAUUCUUGGCUUCCUGAUUUGGAAAAUGUGUACCUGGCAUCCUUGUUAAGUCAAGACAGUCAUACAGGAGAAACGAGGAGAUCGCAUAAAUCUUAG